rnacentral:misc_RNA from 1 species
GAUGAAGAACGUAGUGAAAUGCGAUAAGUAAUGCGAAUUGCAGAAUUCAGUGAAUCAUCGAAUCUUUGAACGCACAUUGCGCCCUCUGGUAUUCCGGGGGGCAUGCCUGUUCGAGCGUCAUUAUAACCACUCAAGCUCUCGCUUGGUAUUGGGGUUCGCGGUUUCGCGGCCCCUAAAAUCAGUGGCGGUGCCUGUCGGCUCUACGCGUAGUAAUACUCCUCGCGAUUGAGUCCGGUAGGUCUACUUGCCAGCAACCCCUAAUUUUUUUAAGGUUGACCUCGGAUCAGGUAGGGAUACCCGCUGAACUUAAGCAUAUCAAUAAGCGGAGGA